UACGUAGGGUGCAAGCGUUGUCCGGAAUUAUUGGGCGUAAAGAGCUCGUAGGCGGUCUGUCACGUCGGCUGUGAAAACCCGAGGCUCAACCUCGGGCCUGCAGUCGAUACGGGCAAACUAGAGUACUGCAGGGGAGACUGGAAUUCCUGGUGUAGCGGUGGAAUGCGCAGAUAUCAGGAGGAACACCAAUGGCGAAGGCAGAUCUCUGGGCCGUAACUGACGCUGAGGAGCGAAAGCAUGGGGGAGCGAACAGG
rnacentral:rRNA from 1 species